ACGGGUGAGUAAUGCAUCGGGAUCUACCCUGACGUGGGGGAUAACCUCGGGAAACCGGGACUAAUACCGCAUACGUCCUACGGGAGAAAGCGGGGGACCUUUUAGGCCUCGCGCGGCAGGACGAACCGAUGUGCGAUUAGCUAGUUGGCGGGGUAAUGGCCCACCAAGGCGACGAUCGCUAGCUGGUCUGAGAGGAUGAUCAGCCACACUGGGACUGAGACACGGCCCAGACUCCUACGGGAGGCAGCAGUGGGGAAUAUUGGACAAUGGGCGCAAGCCUGAUCCAGCAAUGCCGCGUGUGUGAAGAAGGCCUUCGGGUUGUAAAGCACUUUUAUCAGGAGCGAAAUCUGCAUGCUUAAUACGUGUGCAGUCUGACGGUACCUGAGGAAUAAGCACCGGCUAACUUCGUGCCAGCAGCCGCGGUAAUACGAAGGGUGCAAGCGUUAAUCGGAAUUACUGGGCGUAAAGGGUGCGUAGGCGGUUCGUUAAGUCUGUCGUGAAAUCCCCGGGCUCAACCUGGGAAUGGCGAUGGAUACUGGCGAGCUAGAGUGUGUCAGAGGAUGGUGGAAUUCC
rnacentral:rRNA from 1 species